GGGCCUGUAGCCGAGUUGGUUAGGUGGUCUGAGCAGCACUCCUCAAGUCCUGGGUUCGACUCCCCGUGGGAACG
rnacentral:tRNA from 7 species